CAAAUUUCACUUCGACAAGCCAUGGAUGAUGUUGAGCUAUUUGAAGAUUAUGGAAAAUCUUUUUUGGAAGCGAAGUUAGCUUCACCUUUAGCAGCAUCACCUUCACCAUCAAGCACUGUUACAAAUCUUGACUGAUCUGCCUACAUACAUUGCAACCCCAUGUGUAUGAAGCCAAGUUUAAUGUUGGAGCUUGAAGAAGUGCUUACAUGCAGGAUUACUGAAAAGAAACUUUUUUUUUUACAACUAAGCAUUCUGUCCAGCAAUGGAUUACUAUAAUCUGUUUCACGACUAAGCAUUUUGUUGUAAUGUAAAGCUUUAGAUAUCUUGCCAUAGUUUUUCAUUUCCAGCUCUUUAGUGCUUGUGUUGGUUUUUAUGCAUUUGUUUUGCUUUCUCAAAGUUCUAACACUGUUUGGAGAGUUCACAAUAGAAUGAAAUGAAUUAGAGUGGAUAGGUUAUAAAUGAAUGGAAUGUGGAGGACUAUAUUAUUUUCUUUUGUUUGGUGUGUUUUGGAGUUGCAUAAGAGAAGGAAUGGAAAGAAGAGAUAUCAUACUUGCACCUCUGAUGGUUCAGUGAAGAUAUUGUUGGUUUUGUGUUUUUAUUGUGUAUAUCCAUUUAA